UAACACAUGCAAGUCGAACGGCAGCACGAGAGAGCUUGCUCUCUUGGUGGCGAGUGGCGGACGGGUGAGUAAUGCGUAGGGAUCUGCCUUAUAGAUUGGGAUAGCCUGUGGAAACGCAGGAUAAUACCGGAUAAGCCUAAGGGUGAAAGCACGGUUCAUUAGACGUGCGCUAUGAGAGGAACCUACGUCGGAUUAGCUUGUUGGUAGGGUAAAGGCCUACCAAGGCGACGAUCCGUAGCUGUUCUGAGAGGAAGAUCAGCCACAUUGGGACUGAGACACGGCCCAGACUCCUACGGGAGGCAGCAGUGGGGAAUAUUGGACAAUGGGCGCAAGCCUGAUCCAGCAAUGCCGCGUGUGUGAAGAAGGCCUGCGGGUUGUAAAGCACUUUCAGUGAGGAAGUAAUGCUUAUAUUGAAAAGAUAUGAGAGCUGACGUUACUCACAGAAGAAGCACCGGCUAACUCUGUG
rnacentral:rRNA from 1 species